rnacentral:rRNA from 1 species
AUUGAACGCUGGCGGCAUGCUUUACACAUGCAAGUCGAACGGCAGCGCGGGCUUCUGCCUGGCGGCGCGUGGCGAACGGGUGAGUAAUACAUCGGAACGUGCCCCGUAGUGGGGGAUAGCUCGGCGAAAGCCGGAUUAAUACCGCAUACGACCUGAGGGUGAAAGCGGGUGAUCUUCGGACCUCGCGCUAUUUGAGCGGCCGAUGGCCGAGUAGAUAGUUGGUGGGGUAAAGGCCUACCAAGGCGACGAUCUGUAGCUGGUCUGAGAGGACGACCAGCCACACGGGGAGUGAGACACGGCCCAGACUCCUACGGGAGGCAGCAGUGGGGAAUUUUGGACAAUGGGCGAAAGCCUGAUCCAGCAAUGCCGCGUGUGAGAUGAAGGCCUUCGGGUUGUAAAGCACUUUUGGCGGGAACGAAAAGGACUGUGCUAAUACCACGGUUCGAUGACGGUACCCGCAGAAUAAGCACCGGCUAACUACGUG